rnacentral:rRNA from 1 species
UACGUAGGGUGCGAGCGUUGUCCGGAAUUAUUGGGCGUAAAGAGCUCGUAGGCGGUUUGUCGCGUCUGCUGUGAAAACCCGAGGCUCAACCUCGGGCCUGCAGUGGGUACGGGCAGACUAGAGUGCGGUAGGGGAGACUGGAAUUCCUGGUGUAGCGGUGGAAUGCGCAGAUAUCAGGAGGAACACCGGUGGCGAAGGCGGGUCUCUGGGCAGUAACUGACGCUGGAGGAGCGAAAGCCGUGGGGAGCGAACAGG